UACGUAGGGUGCAAGCGUUAAUCGGAAUUACUGGGCGUAAAGCGUGCGCAGGCGGUUUUGUAAGUCUGACGUGAAAUCCCCCGGGCUCAACCUGGGAAUUGCGUUGGAGACUGCAAGGCUGGAGUCUGGCAGAGGGGGGUAGAAUUCCACGUGUAGCAGUGAAAUGCGUAGAGAUGUGGAGGAACACCGAUGGCGAAGGCAGCCCCCUGGGUCAAGAUUGACGCUCAUGCACGAAAGCGUGGGGAGCAAACGAGGAUUAGAACGU
rnacentral:rRNA from 1 species